UGAUAAUUCCCUUCCUCUUUCCCUCCUAGGUAUAACUUACUACUUGGGGAUGAGGGGGAUCAAAUGUAGUCAGAACUGGAAGAGAGCUUAAAGAAGAUGAUUUGUUUAACCUGUGUCUUUUUUUUCACUUGAGAAAACAGAUCCUCCUUAAGUUGGCUGCACUAGUGAAGCUUAUUCAGUGAGCCAGGGGCAGUGCCAGGAUCUGAAGCCAGAGCUGCAGGCAAUGCCCAGGAGUAGGCAAGACUUGAUAGAAAAGCCUAAUCUCACCCAGAGAAGUUGAGUGUUAGCAUUAUGAGGCAUAGUUGUAAAUGGAAACUCAUCAUGAGAACCGAAUAUAUACAUAUUGUAAAACCAAAUGACAAGCUAUCAUUCAUGGAAGAUACUAGUAUUUAUUAGGUUCUAACUACAUACAAGAUGUUGUCCUAUAGGCUUCACACAUAAUACUUCAUUUCUCCUGACAUUUUGAUAAAAUAGGUACUGUUAUCUCCUUUUACAGGUAAGGAAACUGUGGUACACACUUUUGCAAGGCUACACAUCUAGUUAAUGGUGAAGCUAACGUUCAGACCCAGCUGGUUCAGCUCUAGACUUUGUCUCAGCUACUGAACUGAACUCUGUGUGCACUUACCAUGUGUCAUACCAGCUCUCAGUACAUAGUGUCCCAAAAGAUUGGGCAUGCUCUUUCUUUCAGAGACAAUUAGGAAAAAAGUAAACAAAUGGAGCAGGAUUUGGGCAUAACAGCAUGCUCCUCCCAUCCCCCAAAUCCCAGGAGUGUCACUGAGGUCAGUGCCAGUUAACUUAGUGCUCUUCAACUUCACAGCUACCCUUCUUUGCCGUAAAUUGUGACAUUAGAGCUGAAAUCUGUAAACGUCUUUAUGGUCAGUUGGCACAAUGUUUAGCUUUGUCAAUAGAAGGUGCUAGGGGAACACUGCAGAAAGAAAGGGGCUCCUUUUCUUGGUUCCAGUACUUUCCUGCUUGCUCCUAUGGUAUGGUGGCCAGUGAGUGACUUUCUGACCAAUGGUGUGCAAGAAGGCCAUGUUACGUAAUCUUCAGUAAAUUUGGCCAGUUCCCUAGUAUGUGUCUUUCUAUGGAGUACCACUGGUACGUCAGUGGAAUGGCUUCCUAGCAAGUUUUACUGAAAACACAGCUGAUGGUUUCCUCAGCAGCCCAGUGUGUGACACCUUAAAUUUCUGGAUCAUUAAGUGGACCACAGCCAUAUUAUUUCCAAUGAGCGCUUACUCUCAGGCUUAGUAGGGUGGAGGGUGGGUAGGGGGAAGUUCUUCUCAGUUAUUCCCUCCUUGGGUACUCUCCUACAGCCUGAGAGAUAGUGGCUGUUCCCAAUAACCACUAUUACUGUAUUAUUUAGUGGGCUUUUUUCCUCUCCUAAUAGUCAAUACCCUUUGACUGGAUCUUAACUGAUAAAAGUGGAACCCUGAGGAAAGCACUAUCCUUGGAGUCAGAAAUUGGGAUCAGACUAUUUUUUUCUUUCUAUUAUGGUAUUCUUCAUAUUUGCUUUAUUUCUCCACUACCUUUACCCUUUUUGGAUUUGAUGCUAUGUCAAGAAAAAAUUAUUUCAUCACUGAGCACUCUGAGUGUAGAGCAGAAUGCUAAAUGUUGCAUGCUAUUCCAGAAGAAAAGUAGUUUAGGAAUCCCAAAAGCCAAAGAAAGAAAGAUAUGAAUGCAUUGAGUUCUUAGAAGAGUUCUAUGAGAUAGAUGCUUGUGGCAAGCCUGGUCUCCACCCAGAUCUCCUAGGAUCCCUUUGGUUGAAUCUGAGUAUCUUUCCUCUAGCUUCUGUGUUCUUUUGCUUCUCACAGCCUGCCCUGAGACUCUCUUUGGAGGAAUGCCCAAACACUACUAGACUCACUUUGUCUACUGGCAUAGAAAGCCAGACAGAACCACCUGCAAGUUUACUUCUUUCCCAGGAUACCCUUUGCCAAGGACUUUCCUAUAGAGUAUAAAAGACCAGCCGUCUUGCCUCUAGUAGCAAGAAAACCUGAGGUGUAAUUUACACCCUGAGGCUCCCCUGUAGAAUUAUAUUGAUGUUAGGAUUUUGCCUGAAACCACCUUCUUCCCUAUCUUGCUUACUGUGGUACCUGAUGAGUUUUUCCUGGUAGCAUUUCUAUAAUAAAUCACUUGCAGACAAUCUUCAUCUCAGGGUUUGAUCCUGGGGAUCCUGACUUAAGACAUUGCUAUUCUUUUUUAUUUUUUUCCUUUUGCAGAUGAGGAAACUGAGGAUCAGGGCUUUUAAAUUGCCCCAAAUCACACUACUAAUAAGAGAUAGAGUCGUGGUACCUUUUUUAGAGGGACCAUUAUUCUGCUGACUAUAGUACUGUAGAGCAUAAAGUUUCUUAUCCACACUGUUUCUCAGUUCAGUCUGUCAAUAUCACUACUCCACGAUUAUUGUGUUUGUUUUUCUUUCUCCCUGUCUUUUACCUCAGAAAUCUCUAUUGUGAUGCCAGAGAGACCUUUCUGAAACCUCUCCUUUUUUCUGUGUUUAAAACCCCCCAGUGCCGCCCAUGAAAUACACAGCAAAGUCCAAACUCCUUAUCUUGCUGGGAUCCUCCUUUCCACCCUUUUUAACUGUUCAGCCAUAUUUCUCCAUGUACUUCUGAGACUGGAACCCAGGGCAACAAAGCUAAUGUGGGUUCUCCAAGAUUAACACAACUGAAAGGAGGCCCCUUUAUGUCAUCUUUUCUAGGUCCCUUGGAAUAUAAUUAAAAACAAGAAUUUCAACAUUGAAAUGUAAUGAUGUUCAGAUAAGGGCAGUGGCUUGAGCCAAUCUCCCACCAUGUCUGGGGACUGGGACAGCUGAGCCAGUGGUCCUACCUAAGGGUCAGGCCUGUGUCUUCACUUCUCCUUUCAACCCUUUACUUCUUCCAGAGUUGAACAGCUUACUUUCCUUCGCUCACUAGGCCAUUUCAUGGUUUGUGUUUGCCUGAAAUACAACUCUUUCCCUGCCUGGUCUACACCUGCUCACCCUCCAAGAAAUACCUCUGGGCCCACUUUCUUUCCUGGAAACAUUUUAUGACUCUUAUUUCUGUUACCAACACAGCUUUUAUUUAUGUCUCCAUGUAUCCUUUGAAGAAACACAACUUUCCAGGUUCUAUGUUUUAUUUGCAUUCUUAGUGUCUGGCACAUUGUCUGACACAGUGUAAAAGCUGAGUAGAAUUUUGCCUGACAACAGAUGUGCCUAAAGUGAGGGUGUCCAAAAUUUCAUUAAAUGACCGCUGCUUUAAUAUGAACUCUUGGCUAAGGCAGGAGAAUCGCUUGAACCCGGGAGGCAGAGGUUGCAGUGAGCCGAGAUCACACCAAUGCACUCCAGCCUGGUGACAGAGGGAGAAUCCAUGUCAAAAAAAAAAAAAAGAAUAUAUAUAUGAAUUCUUACUGCUAGUAUUAAACGAUUAUCUCUUUACACUCAUAGUAAUGUCUUACAAUAACAGAAUGCAGGAGAGCACAUAUAAAUGAAGAAAAGACAAAAUGUACUUACCAUGAAGCUGAAGUUAAGAAACCAGUGUCCUCAAGAGCCGGGGACAGCACUGGGUCUGUGCAGAGUUGAGAGAUGGUGAUGACAUGUGGUUUCCAGCAUUCCUGGCCCAGGCCGGGGACACUGUGGGUGUGCCCAGCUUAAGUCCAGUACCUGGAAAUACAAGCCCAAGUUCUGGAGAGUUUGAGCUGCAGAGAUAUAUAUGGGGACACUUUGAACCUUGACUCGUUGGCCAGAACCAGCAGAGUGGAAAAUACAAGAAGAGAAAAAAACAUUGAACUGCGAUUUUAUAACAUCCUUUACUAGGCAGAGAGAAGAGGAAAGACCAGGAAAGAAAACUGUAUUACAAUGUGAAAAUGUAAUGUUAAGAAAUUCAGGCAUCUUGGGGUUAGUGAGGAGAAGUUUUAGGGGCUUAGACUCUUCAAAACACAUGUACAGACAUGCAUAUUUCAUCUGAUAUCAAAUGACAUUUAUAGUGCUAAUCUUUACCUCAAGACUUCACAUCUUUUGGUGAUUGCAUCUUUUAGGUUUAUAGCAGUUAAGUUUGCAUGAACGCACCAGGGCUGUUUCAUUUCAGUCAAGAAUUAAUGUUCAUUGAUUGUACUCCUGCAUUUCAUAUAACUAUUGUAGAAUUUGUUUUAGUUUUAUGAGGGAAUAAUCGGUCCAACUUCUAUAUAAACUCAGGAAUUUACUCUCAGACAACACUGUCAAUUAGCUACUUAUCUCUCUGGAAAUGACCUGGGAACAUGGAGAGGAAAGGGAGGAAGAGGCAAAAUCUGACUACUUAAAUCUAAGUAUAUUAGAUAAUUUUGGUGGCUAGAAAGUCCUGAAUGAUGUGACUUUCAUUCUUGUAAAACACCUCUUUGCAUAGAUUUAUGGCCCAAACAGUAUAUAAAGAGUGGAGAAGGAACUGCAUUUGCAAAUAGUUCAAAUCAUUGCUCCAUCUUAACUAUGCAGUUCACAAAGUAUGAAGAAAUUUGAUCAUCUCAAAAAAGAUAAUGGAAAAAAGUAUGUUUUUUUCUGUGACUUUAAAGUCUUACAAUAUUUUACAUAAAUGAUAAUGGGUACUUUAAUAAGAGCCCUUGAUACUUUUGUUAUUGUAUUCAAUAUAUGCAUAUAAUACAACAGGAUGAUAUUGUUUUGGAUUUGGAAAUGUAUUCUUUCUUAUGCAAUCUUAUGCAGUCAUACUGCUUGAAUAUCACUACCUGAAUUUAUCUUUAUUUUUGUUGUUGUUGUUGUUUUGCACUCUACUUAUUUGGUGCCUGUCAGUCUUUUAUCAUCAGUUUAUAUUCUACUAAACUCAAAAAGACAAUCUCAUACCUUUUGUAAUUGUAGGCAUUCCUUACUAGAUUUUUAAAUACACUUCAAAAAUUCAAGUACUUUGAUUACAUGCCAUCAAGUAGCUGAAUCUAUCCCCCUCUCUCUUUUUAAAUUUAAGUGAGUAGUUCAAUUUCUGUCGUUUUGUACUUUGUGAAUUCUAAAUCUUUUAAAACCAUCUUGCCAUUUUUCAUGCACUUACCCUUACAGAAAACUCUAUGAAACACUACUUAUCUCUACUUUUGUUUUUAACUCCUUUUUUAUAUUACUAUUCCCUCUGCUUUCUAAAUACACAUAUUAAUUUGUUCUUUUUAUUCUCUGUAGCUCUUCUCAAUAUAUGAAUUCAGUUUCCCAUCAAUCCCCAUACAAUUAAAAAAAUAAAUGUUAUGUAUUCUGUUAUUUUAAUAUAUCUAGUGCCCAUAUUCUAAUUCUGCCUCUUAUUUUUAAAAUAAUUUUAUUGUUGAUUUAAAAUGACAACAGUUUCAAUUCCCAGAAAGUGAAAGGAAACAAAGGAAUAAUAUUAUGGGCUUAAUUUUUAUCAGUGAACUUGUAGGUGAAGAAAAGAUUUGGGGAAGGAAACGAACAUAUUAUAUUGCAAAAUAGUAAGGAACAAUCAGAUGUGUUUUCUAGUCUCUAGAAAAGCAUGUUUCAAGAAAUUCAACGAAAAGUUCAUCAUGCUUGCUUAGAUUGUUGAGAAGCAAAAAUACUGAUGAACAUUUGGAAGCAAUGAGAAUGUAAUUCUAAUCAUACUAUUUUAAUAAUUUUGAAAACUCUCCAAACACUACUCUGUGUGGAUAUCUUUCAGAAUAUGAUGAAUACUAGUGGUCUUAUUCUGCCCUUUUCUCUCUACCACAAUAUAUACAUUGCAUAUUGCACACACAUAUUUUCCAAAUAUUACAUAUAAUUUCAUGUAAUUUAUAGACCUAUUACGGCCCAACCAUUUUCUUGGAUAGGGGAUUCUUUGGAAGUCCAGCUUAAAUAAAGCCCUUAUAGAAAGUUUUUUUUUUAAAAUUUAUACAUAAUCACCUAAAGUAACCUUAUCUACUGAACUCUUAGUACAUGCUACCGGAACGUUUUAUCACGUUUCUUCCUGGCUUGUAUUACAACACUGUUGACAUAUCUCAGCCUCACUUCUAGGCUUCUUUGAGAGCAUGACUCAUGUUUGUAUUCCUCACUGAGGUUGAAUGAAUAAGAGAAACUACAGUAGUAGGAAAAAACCGCACAUGUAGAUAUCAGUGAAUAUGAAAGGGUCAAAUGGAUCUAUUAUAGUAAGCACAAAAUCAACUGACACCAGCAAAGUAAACCCAAAAUUUUUAAUGGUAUUUUAAUAGAUCAAGAGGGAGCAAGCAGAUUGCUAUCUGGGAAGGUGGUAAAGUUUUGAGAGAGUUGUCUCCUACUUUCUCUAUCACGGGGAGUAAUUUUAAAAGAAAAAUGGAGGGUAAGUUUCUUUAAGGGAAAAUUGUAGCUUAAAACAGGUUAUGGGAUAAUUAGAAAUAAUUUAAUUGCUUUAGCGGAUUUUAAACUUUCAACUGCUUGCAAUUAGAUCCUAAGGCAAUACAAGAAUCAGGAGGUUUGGAAAACCAUUGUCUGUAAUCUCUGAAGAAAAGUGGACAUCAGAGGAGUCAGUUGAAAAGCAAAGCUAUCACCAUUUUCUAAACAGGAAAAAGGUGAACCUCACAAACUAUAGACCAAAAAAAUAGGACAUCGAGAGAAAGAAUAUGAAGCUAGCAUAGGUUCACGAAGAAUGAGUCAAAUCAAACAACAUGCAUUUUUUAUUUAUAAAGCAUGACUUGUUCAUUGUCAAUUCAUGUUAGCUUAAUGAUUAGGCAUUAAUGUCAUCACUGCAAUGCAUAUGUCAGCAAUAAAUAAUCAAACACCAGGCUUCCAUCAUUCUGUUUAAUAUCUUCGAGUAAUGCUUAAGUUGGCAAAUGCUCUUUUAACACAUUCUCCAUAUGCAGCCUGCCCAGCACUGCACACAAUAGACCUGUUACUUCCCCUUCACGAGCACUCCUAAUAUUUCAUGUGCUCAUCCAAUUGACUUCUCCCACUGGUGCCUCAUAUUGAAUUUGUAGAAUCACACCGGCUCCUUUUUCAGAACUCUUCUGAGUUUUUUCUUAAAUAAUUCACUGACCCCAAAGUGUCAGAUAUUUGAAGACUACUUGCACAAUUUUAAUAUUAUAAAUGUAUAAUGUAAAUGUAAUCAAGAUUUGUAUAAUGUACAAUGUACUUUGGUAAAUAAAAGCUGUGAAUACAUAUGAUACAAUUCAAAAUUUUACAUAAAUAUGUGAUAAAGUUUAGCUCAUAUUUUUUUUUUUUUUCUUCACUCUGUCGCACCCAGGCUGGAGUGCAGCGGCACAGUCUCGGCUCACUGCAACCCCUACCUCCUGGAUUCAAGCGAUUCUCCUGCCUCAGCCUCCUGAGUAGCUGAGAUUACAGGUGCCCACCACCACGCCUAGCUAAUUUUUUUCUAUUUUUGUUGUUGUUGUUUUUAGCAGAGACAGGGUUUCACCAUGUUGGUCAGGCUGGUCUUGAACUCCUGACCUCAGAUAAUCCACCUGCCUCGGCCUCCCAAAGUGCUGAGAUUACAGGCAUGAGCCACCGUGCCUGGCCUAGUUCAUGUUCUUUAAGGACAAUUAUGAAUAUUUUUAUGUACAGUUAAUUUUCAUUAAGAUAUUGAUCAAUUAAUAGCUAUAUAUGUUCUAUAAAUUAAUCCUGUCUAGUUUCAAUCUUAAAUUGUUUGCAUAUACUAUUCUAGUUUAUUGUUUGCAUAUAUUUUAUAGUGUAGAGAUUAGGCAUUUUAAUAACAUUUUAAAAUUUCCAGGGCAUACUGUUAGUGACUAUGCUUCCUACUAUAGGCCAUAAUUAAGUUUUUUUCUAUUGUUAGCAAUAUUUUGAUAAAUAUGAUAAGGAAAUAAGGAAAUAUUUCCUUCAUUUGUUAACAAUAGGUGUUUGGGGAUUUUAAAAUGAAAAUUGAAGAAGUAAAAGACACCAGAUAUUUAGUUUGUUUGAUUUCAUGGCUUCAAGAGGUCAAUAAUUUAUUGAAAUAUUUUACAGACCAAAAGAACAACAGAUAUAUUAAAUUUGUAAGUCCCUACAUAUUUUAAAGGAUAAUGGUUUAUAUAUGAAAAUUCCUGAAGCUUACACUUCAUCAGGAAAAGCUAAAUAAAAGAAGUUAACAUUUUCCUAGGACUAAUGGAGAUUUAUUUCCCAGUCCUCUUCUCUGAAGACAAAUGUAGGUCUCUCUUGAAAAGCAGAAAGAUUUGCACAUAAGGUAUGAUUUAGUGGGCUAGAAACAUCUUUUACACUCUCCCCAAAAUGUUUCACUAUGUUUUAUCAUACUAUCUGAUAAUUUUGCAUUAAAGUUUUCUUUCUGAGUUAAGAAAAUGCAAAUAUCUCUGAAUGGGUCUCUUUGCUUUAGUCAUACUCAUAUGGCUACUACUGAACAAAAUAUGUUCAUUACAGGAUGAAGGGAAUGUUGCCAGCCAGCAAAUCCUUAGAGUCUGCACUACACCAAACGUUGCUUAGCAAUUUAUACGAUUUUCUCAGUCUAAUUUGCAAGUAUGAAGGAGACGUUUGUGUAUGUUAGAUAAAGUUGUAAAAUUGGUAUUUAUUGUAUGUUUCUAUAUUGAAAGCUUUACAAAGGAAAUGGAAAGUUAACAGGUGGAUAUGAUAGUGUGGCACUACUUUAGCUGGGUGGUAAGGGAGAGCUUCUCUUAGGAAGUGUUUUAGGCCAGGACUUGAAUAAUGAACAGUGUCUAGUUGUACAAAAAUCUAGGGGAAAGACUUUUCAGGCCCAGGAGAAAUGAAAAUUCUUUUCAUGCAUACAAGAAUGAAAGUGAAAAUUACCUACUCUAUGUCCUGAAGUGGGAAGUUGGCUUGCCAGAGAGCAGGUAAUUUUCACUUUGGUUCUUUUAUGCCUUCAAUUAUACUACUUCUUAGGUUAGUUCAUAAGGGUUUCCACAAUUUGGUUCCCACUUAAAAUUUAAAACUUCCCUAACCCAUUCCCACCAUAUAUUGUGCUAAUCCAUGCAUUUGUGACUCUCUGUAUGCUGUUUUCAUUGUUUAAUAUUCUUCUCAUGCAUUCUUUCUUUCCUGGUAAUGAACUCAUCUUUGAAACUCCCCUUCAAGCAUUCUCUCCUUUAGGAGGUUGCUUCUCACUGUCUCCUGCCUACCACCCAUUAAAUUGUUCAAAUUUUAAGCUGCCAUUGUCUUGUGCAUUUGACACAUUGCUUUGCAAUUACUGAUUUACGUGUCUGCUUUUAUCACUGGUGAGGUUCUUUAGGAGAGAGACACUAUUAAUUCAUCUCUAGGCACAUAUGGUCCAACAUAUUAGAAGUACUACAGAGUGCUAUUACUAUGUAGUAUGUAGUAUUAGUAGUAGUUACCCACAAAUCGUUUUUAAAUAAGUGAUUAUAAUAUCUUUUGGUUAUUAUGAUUUAACACAAGAUAUAAUUUAUUUUCAGAAGUUUCCAUGAUAUAUUUGUUCUAGUUAAAAGCCAGUAGCCAUUAGAAUAUUACCAUUAUUUAAUGUAAAACAAUAAAAUAUUAAAUAUGAUCAUUCAUAUUUAAUACAAACUGAACUCAUGGAAAUAUUGUGUAAAGAUUGAGUAAUUUUUGACAUACAAUUUUAAAUUCAACUUUUCAUAUAGCAUACCUUAUAUUUUCAGCCUAUUUUUAAAUAUGUUGGCAUUGAAAGCCAGUUACUAAUUCGUUGAAUUCAUGAUUUCUUUUUAAGUUAUAGAAGUAGAAUUAUGUUUGAGACAUUAAUUGCAUUACAUUUACCAGACCUUGAGUUCUUAACAUGGAACCUGAGAGCUUCUCCAUUUCUUAAGUCCCUGGGAGAAAUAGAUUAGCUGGACGAGGAACUGAGAGGAAAAAUGGUCAGAGGUGUAGCAAGAGUUGGGAAGAAGGAACAAUUAUUUGCUUUCAAGUAGAUUUUUUCAUUGGUCUGUUUUCAGUGACAAACCCACUGCGUUAAUACAUGUAAAAUGAAAACAUUCAGGAAGUUCUCUUAGAAACAUCUCUCUGGCAGUUUCUAAUUCUACAAUGUUGUGUAAGUGAAAUAUCAUAGUUACCGUCAUAGUAAAUUGAGCCAAGAGAAACAAGGGAACAGGAGAAGAAAAGAAUUAAAAAGAGUUUUGUCUUUCAGUCUUCACUCUUUUUCUUCUUGCUUUUACCAGUCAUUCAAGUUUAUAUAAUUUCUUUAGAGAGGCUUCUACUAUGCAGAUCUUCCUUAAAGUCACUGGUAUUACCUGGCAUGAUAUGUGAGUCUUUAAUAUCAGUCCCUUUAUCUCUUUAUUUUUAAAGUUUAUAUCAGUACGGAGUCCUAGAUUCUUAAUUAAUAGGUUAGACUUUACUGCUAACAUUCUUUAUUCUGAUGCUCAGAUUUUCCAAAAUUUGGCCAGCAGGGUUCCUUAAAGCUGGUUACCUUGCCCUUUCAACAUGUCUCUCUGAUUCUUUUUUUUUUUUUUUUUUUUUUUUUUUUUUGAGACGGAGUCUCGCUCUGUCGCCCAGGCUGGAGUGCAGUGGCGCAAUCUCGGCUCACUGCAAGCUCCGCCUCUUGAGUUCACGCCAUUCUCCUGCCUCAGCCUCUCCGAGUAGCUGGGACUACAGGCGCCCGCCAUCACGCCCGGCUAACUUUUUGUAUUUUUAGUAGAGACGGGGUUUCACCGUGGUCUCGAUCUCCUGACCUCGUGAUCCGCCCGCCUCGGCCUCCCAAAGUGCUGGGAUUACAAGCGUGAGCCACCGCGCCCGGCCUCUCUGAUUCUUUAUAUUUAUUUAUUUAUGUAUUUGUUCAUUUAUUUAUUUAGAGACCAAGUCUUGCUCUGUCUCCCAGGCUGGAGUGCGAUGGCACAAUCUUGGCUCACUGCAACCUCUAUCUCCCAGGUUCAAGCAAUUCUCCUCCCUCAGCCUCCCGAGUAACUGGGACUACAGGCAUGUGCAACCAUGCCUGGCUAAUUUUUUUUUGUAUUUUUAGUAGAGACCAGGGUUUCACCAUGUUGGUCAGGCUGGUCUUGAUCUCCUGACCUCAAAUGAUCCAUCGCCUCGGCCUCCCAAAGUGCUGGGAUUACAGGCGUGAGCCGCCACACCCAGCCAUCCCUCUCAUUCUUUAAGUACUUCCAUGUUUUCUAAUGUACAAGAUGUCCAUAUUAUUUUGUUAUUUGUCUUCCCCAGCUCUGAAAUCUGCCUUUCCUUCAAGGAGCCUUGGUUCUUUCUAGUGACAAAUUAUAUUUAGAAACCAAGAUCUGGGUAUUUGACUUGUAUAUUGCUAUUAGUUGGCCAUUGUUUCUAGUCUCUUUCAGUAGACAGAGCUAAGAAAUGUAAAAAGAAAUAUUUGAAUGUAUGUAUAUGUAGUAUAUUAAGUACAUUUAAGCAUAUUAAAUUCAUGAGUUCAUACUAAUACUUUCAAUAAGCCACAAUUCCCUUUUCAUGUUUUCGAAGGAAAAAUAUCCAUUGUCUGUAUACAGUGGACAUAGAUAGUGAUAAUACUGAUCCUGAAAAGAGCAAUCUUAAAUAGAUCCCAUUAAUCAUUAAAGAUAACAUAUCUUAGAAUUCUAGAUAUUAAAGAGAGAGAUUACCCAGAGCUGUGAUCUAGAUAUUUUAUAGAUCUUUGCUGUGCUGUUUUGGAUUUGUGUUGGAGUAGAACAAUCAGAUGACAAAAGCUCAUCCCAUGUGGAAAAAUCAAAGCAUUCAUUACAGAGAGAAUUUGAAAUAAAUGCAUAUAUAUAAAAUAUAUAUGCAUAUAUAAUGCAUAUGUAUAAAAAUAUAUGCAUAUAUAAUGCAUAUGUAUAUGCAUAUUUUAUAUAUAUAUAUAUAUAUAUAAUGGGGGUUAUGAACAAUGAAGGAAAUAGUGAUCCUAUCUAUGUGGGAACAAUACUAAUAUCCUCCCUUUGGAUGAAUACAGUAGCUACAGAUGCAACUCUGGGGCCUCUGUUUAGCAAUAGCUUAACUAUUGCUUGGCUACAAGCAUGGAUAACUUGUUCAAAGAUAAUGAGGAGUUGUAAAUAUUUAAAUAAACAGGAUUUGCAACAUAAAAA